UACGUAGGGGGCAAGCGUUGUUCGGAAUUACUGGGCGUAAAGGGCGCGUAGGCGGCACGGCAAGUCGGGAGUGAAAGGCCUGGGCUCAACCGAGGAACUGCUUUCGAGACUGCCGAGCUAGAGUGCGGAAGGGGCAUCUGGAAUUCCCAGUGUAGCGGUGAAAUGCGUAGAUAUUGGGAAGAACACCUGAGGCGAAGGCGGGAUGCUGGGCCGACACUGACGCUGAGACGCGAAAGCGUGGGGAGCGAACAGG
rnacentral:rRNA from 1 species